AUUGAACGCUGGCGGCAGGCUUAACACAUGCAAGUCGAGCGGAGAUGAGGUGCUUGCACCUUAUCUUAGCGGCGGACGGGUGAGUAAUGCUUAGGAAUCUGCCUAUUAGUGGGGGACAACAUUCCGAAAGGAAUGCUAAUACCGCAUACGUCCUACGGGAGAAAGCAGGGGAUCUUCGGACCUUGCGCUAAUAGAUGAGCCUAAGUCGGAUUAGCUAGUUGGUGGGGUAAAGGCCUACCAAGGCGACGAUCUGUAGCGGGUCUGAGAGGAUGAUCCGCCACACUGGGACCGAAACACGGCCCAGACUACUACGGGAGGCAGCAGUGGGGAAUAUUGGACAAUGGGGGGAACCCUGAUCCAGCCAUGCCGCGUGUGUGAAGAAGGCCUUAUGGUUGUAAAGCACUUUAAGCGAGGAGGAGGCUACUGAGACUAAUACUCUUGGAUAGUGGACGUUACUCGCAGAAUAAGCACCGGCUAACUCUGUGCCAGCAGCCGCGGUAAGAC
rnacentral:rRNA from 1 species